GGGCUCCGCUCAAGCACGCCUAGGGUGUUGCUGGAGCCGAGGGCACUUAUUUCCGACGCUGUGAUGCUUGGGCGGCGUGACUGAUAAUUGUUGGGGAGCAGGGCGCUCCCAGGGCUUCCAGCGCAACUUUUCUGAGCGUCGUGUCGCAUUGUUGUUCAGGGACACCCAGGAACAGGUUUCCUAGGAUUCCAUCCUGGGACUCGGGAGAGAGCUAACCGUCCAGCCUCUGGACUUACCCUAUUCCAAGGCCACCUGUGAAGCCACCUGGCAAUCAAAAGCUUCGCAGGCCUUACGGGUGACUCUGCUGUCACUUCUAAAGCCCACACAGAAGCGGCUGCAACAAAGUACAGCAGGAUGUUCACUGGUGGCUUCUGAGUGGUGGGGUCCCAGGGAUUUUUAAUUUCCUUCUUUUUUGAUUAGUUACAGUUUCUCAGUUUUCUAUAACGGACAAUCUGGUGCUUUUUAAAUAAGAUAUAUUAUUCUAUGUUAUUCUAAAAUGAUUUUUUGAAAACGCCUGCAGAACUUCGGCAGCACCGUCCUGCAAUGUAAGCAGCGACCCCCCACCCCCCCUUUUUUUAGGCUUGCGGGAGAAAAUUUCUGGGGCCCGGACCAGGCUCCUCCUCCCUGGCUCCUUUCGGGCCGCCCCUUGACCACGCCCCCAUACCGACCCUUUUACUCCAGUACCGCCCUCUUCUCCUUUGGUUGCUGAGAAAACCCGGAAGGGUGGACUUUCAACACUGACGUUCCCGGUGGCUCCUAUGCCAGGCUGGGCCUGUUCCGCCGCCGGGUCAGGGACUGCUGACAAGGAGAGAGGCGUCUUUAAGCAACUCCCAGCCUCUCUCCUCCUGCUCUCGGUCCUUGGCAAACGGAACAAAGUAGCACCUCCGACCCCCUGCCAGGAGCUCGGACCUGCAAAGUGGGUCAGGACUCGACUGAGCAUGCUCCGGACAGUGCCAGAAUGCCGCACGCGGCUGCAUCUCGUUGCCCAAGGGAUCGGAUGCUGAAGUCAGAGACUCCACUGCCCUUUGCCCUAAUCAGCACAGUACGGCCUCCAAAGGCGGAGAGUCGUAGAUGUGUGGAUCAGGGUCAGGAGCAUUCUGGAUCAUUUUUCGGGCUGGCAGUGGAGCUGAAAGCCCAGUUCUGCCAUGCAAGGUAGUCUGUCUGCCAACCUAUAAGCCAUGAGAACAAGAACAAGAAGAGUCAAGGAGCGCAGUGUGAAUACCUCGCAUCCGGCUGAUGUGGCAAACAAACAGAUGGUUGAUAGAGCAGGGGCACGGCCCGCCCUCCCCAUGAUGGGAACCCAGAGAGGAGCCUCAUCCAGCCCCUUUUGCUGUUUCACGGGCCUCCACCAGCAGCCGCACUUGAUUUCAAGUUGGCAAAAGAAGAUUGACCCAGAGUCUUUGGAUGUAUACAGCCUCUGCUUGCAACAGUUUGUCCCCUGCUCUGACAUUCCAAUAGACGGCUACAUCUGGAUACUCCUACUGGAUUUCACUGUAUCCGUUUGUACCUGUACAACACUGAGUCAAGCCUGCAGCAAGCACAGGUCUGGAAGCUAUCACAGAUUUCAGGAUCCUCCCACCAGCUCCUUCAGGCAACAGUCAGUAAAGUCCUGAAGCUACUGUGAAUAACAAGCACCUAUCCCCAGGGUAGUGGAAUCAUCAGGUUCAUCUCAGUGUUCCUCCAGGCGCUGCGGCUUCCCAGGCUCACCUACGUAACUCCCACCGGUUGUCUUAAAAAUCAGGACUUGGGCUUGGAGCCAGCUAAUGUGAGCUCGGAGGUGAGAUUUUUUUGCUCAAGAACUUUAGCUGUUGGAAGAUGUGACAUCUCAUCCAGAUGUUAAAAAAAAUACUAACUAUGAAACCCAAGAGGACAUUAAAUAAUGUUAUAACUCAAAAAUGAACAAAUGCACCAAAAAAUAGAAUUGAUAUCUGGUGUUACUCUGAAGAGAAUAUUGUACUCACCAUAUCCAUCUGUUCUGGAGAAGC